UUUGUGGGCUCUUAGAAGUUUACAACAGUUUUGGUGCCGCUGACCCGGAUAGAGACUGAAAUCAUCCACUUCUCAACAAUUUGCAACAAAAGACUGAAAUCCACCUGAAAUUCAACUUGAACCUUCAAGAUCAAGGAAACUUCACUUCAGACGGAAUCUUCAGCUCAACUGCAAUUUGAAGUCACUCAGCAAUACAAAGAUCAGACCACUUCAGACUGAACCUUUUCAGUUCAACCACGAUUUGAUACAACUUGUUGUCCUGAGACCCAUAGACACCAACCUUCUCACCUACAAGUCCAGUCACAACCUUCAAGAGGCCACUGCUAAACCAACCAUCACAGAAGAAAACACAACGCAGAGAACCACACACAGGAACUUCAGUCAUCCAUCAAUAUGAUCAAGAUUGCCGUACUAGUGAUCAUCAUGAACAUCGCACAAGCCAUCGACUCACGAAGCAACAUAUUCUUAGAGCUGAUGAAUAUGUCAAGAAAUGCCUUGUUUGCUGGAAAGAACAUCUGCAUGCCACACCCACCUUCAGUAGGAGCAGGAAUCCCCUGGGUGGCACACCCCAUGUCCAACUGUGACACGUGUACGUUCUACCAGCUAUCAGAGAAAAUACACAUGCCACACCAAGCUCUCUACAUC